rnacentral:lncRNA from 1 species
CUGAGCAAUAUGUCCUUUAAACUCUCCACUGAAGUUAAAAACAAAAUAUAUAGCACCUAUAUAAAGCAAGCUCACCCUAUUCAAGAUAACUACAGUUGGGGAAUAAACUCUAAUGGAUCCUUCACCAUUAAAUCUGCCUAUGUUAUGUUACAAGGUAAGGAUGAGGGGGACACCAAUGACUAUACGGAUCAUUCACCAUUAAAUCUGCCUAAGUUAUGUUACAAGGUAAGGAUGAGGGAGACACCAAUGACUAUAAAUGGUUCUCGAGAAU